CUGCAUUAACUUUUGAUAAGUGUAGUCAUGUUAGAAUUCCCAAAGGGUCUUAGUACAUAAUGAAACCUGGUUGUGAAUCUUUUUGUAAAGUGAAAAAGGUUCUUCUUUUCUUAUUUUUAAAAUAUCAAAUUCUAUUAAAACAAAUGUUGUAUGGACUUGAAAUGUUAUCUAUUAAAAAUAUACUUGAAACACAAACAUUUUAUUCAUUUACCGAGGAGCAGAUUUUUCUAAAAUAGACCAGGAUAAAAAGUAGCAUAUUGUUACCUGCUUGAAUUCUGGCAUAUCCAUUUUUUCUAAGGAAUAUAUUUUCAGUUUAAAUUUUAGCAGAUCAGGUAUUUAGGUUUUCUUCUCCGUCUCUCCCUCUUUCUCUUUUUCCUUAAUUUAGCAGUUAGCUUUCAAAGCUGAGAACUCCUACAUUUUGCCUCUUCCACUUGUACAGCUUGUACAUGUAGUACCACGUACAGAUAGCUAUACAAGAAACAGAGGACAUCAUAGUCUUAUAUAAUACCUUAUGUUUUUUCUAAUAAUUUAAUUACUUCUUUCUUCCAUUUCCCUAAGAUCCCUGGGGAAAUUGUAUAAUCUUGUGUAAGUAAACUACAAGGACUUAAAGUAUAGUUUUGUUAUUUUAGGAAGCUUCAUUCCAAAUUCUGACUUGGCAUCCAGUGUCCUCUUUGGAUGGUGUGUGCCAGUCUAGCACACUAGCACCUUUUGUUCAGAGCUAAAUUGACAGAGAUAUGCUUAAAUAAAUUACCAUUCCCAUUUCAAUGGAUACCUCAGCAGGAAUAUGAGAUUAUAAACUAGUGGAAAUAUGAAAGGAGGAAUCCGUGUGGGUAAAAGGAUGGGGUAGAAGGAAUAUUUUAAAUCUUAUUAAGACAGGAGUAUUGACACUUCAGACUGAAUGGAACCUUGUCUUUGAAGCUGCCCUGGGAAAGUUGAAGCUCUCUGGGAAAGAAAAUAUAAGCUCUAGAAUCCAACUGCGGUGAAAUUAACAGAUAAAUGUUUGAUCUACCCUGGUGUUUACAAAGAACAGAUAUUCAUGGCUAAUGGCAACUCUCUUUCAAGGAGGUCACUUCUGAACUCUUCUGUCUCCUGGAAAGUGAUGUUUAUCUUAGAGAAGUUUCAUCUCUACAAUACCCCACCUGUGUUGUCAAUCUGUCAAAUUAGGAGUUUCCAUUACAGAGAUUCAUCGAGAGAAAAAGACAAGGAUGAUAAUGCAGCCAGAAUAAUGUUCAUUUACUUAUUUUCUCCAGAUCCCCAAAGUGCUACAUAAAUAGGACAAAUUAGAGAAAGAAUGCUGAUGAUUCCUGUAUUAACUGUGCUUGGUUGUAGAUGACAGUUUUCUUUGGAGCCCCUUCAAAGACAAAGUAUGCAGAUUUAUCACACCUGGUUGCAUUAUUUACAUCAAAUAGUAUCAUAUAAUUUUAUAGGCAUUGUAAGCUCAUUUUUGGUAUGGCCUAAUGCAGCCCGUUUCUUUUCUUUUCUUUCUUUUUUUUUUUUUUUUGCGGUAUGCGGGCCUCUCACUGUUGUGGACUCUCCCGUUGCGGAGCAACAGGCUCUGGACGCGCAGGCUCAGCGGCCAUGGCUCACGGGCGCAGCCGCUCUGCGGCAUGUGGGAUCUUCCCGGACCGGGGCACGAACCCGUGUCCCCUGCAUCGGCAGGCAGACUCUCAACCACUGCGCCACCAGGGAGGCCCCAGCCCGUUUCUUUGAAGGCAGCAUGAAAUGCCAGGGAAGACAUUUCAACUCAUAAUGAGGAUCAGGACACACAGGAAGAAUACAGUUCCUGCCUUGUGUUUAGUGAGGCUAACCUCUGAAGUCCUCACUCUCCCAGAAGGAGAAGUUCCCUCCAUGCUUUCCAACUCUCUCCACCUGUACAAGGCACAGCAUGGUCAUUUACUGGUCAAUUUGCUCAUUAAUAACAAACACCCCACGUGAGAAGUUCCCAUUGACUAAAUUAAUUGGAUAACUGCAAAGGCUCCACUUGUCUUGGGACUGUUAGAAGAUGUCUCAUUACUGCUCCAUAGUUCUGCUUCAGAUACUCAAAUGGAAUUUCCAGAUGGUUGCCUUCUCUAAGGUAUGAUGCUUCUUUCCAUAAGC